rnacentral:hammerhead_ribozyme from 1 species
GUCCAACUGACGAGUCACAAAUAGGACGAAACAUGCGUCCUGGAU